rnacentral:rRNA from 1 species
AUUGAACGCUGGCGGCAGGCCUAACACAUGCAAGUCGAGCGAGCGGCGGACGGGUGAGUAAUGUCUGGGAACCUGCCUGAUGGAGGGGGAUAACUACUGGAAACGGUAGCUAAUACCGCAUACCAUCAGAUGUGCCCAGAUGGGAUUAGCUAGUAGGUGGGGUAACGGCUCUCCUAGCCGACGAUCCCUAGCUGGUCUGAGAGGAUGACCAGCCACUCAGGAACUGAGACACGGUACAGACGCCGAAGGGAAGCAGCAGUGGGGAAUAUUGAAGAAUGGGCGCAAGCCUGAUGCAGGGAUGCCGGGUGUGUGAAGAAGGGCUGCGGGUUGUAAAGCACGUUCAGCGGGGAGGCGUUACCCGCAGAAGAAGCACCGGCUAACUCCGUGCCAGCAGCCGCGGUAUUC